rfam:Monoraphidium neglectum strain SAG 48.87 mitochondrion, whole genome shotgun sequence.
GGUUAAGUCGUCUAAAGGUAAGGCAUUGGUUUGCAAAACCAAGAAUAGCAGUUCAAGUCUGCUCUUAACCU